rnacentral:tRNA from 1 species
GGAUGUGGCUCAAGCGGAAGCGUGCUUGCCUGGCAUGCGUGCGGCGCUGGGUUCGAUCCUCAGCACCA